GAGUUUGAUCCUGGUAGGAUGAACGCUAGCGAUAGGCUUAACACAUGCAAGUCGAGGGGCAGCACUGGUUAUCGGCAACGGUAUCCUGGUGGCGACCGGCGCACGGGUGAGUAACACGUAUGCAACCUACCCUUAACCGGGGGAUAACCCGGGGAAAUCCGGGCUAAUACCCCAUGAGACGGUCUCAUCGCCUGAUGUUACCGUUAAAGAUUGAUCGGUUUUGGAUGGGCAUGCGUUCCAUUAGCUCGUUGGUGGGGUAACGGCCCACCAAGGCCACGAUGGAUAGGGGAACUGAGAGGUUCAUCCCCCACACUGGAACUGAGACACGGUCCAGACUCCUACGGGAGGCAGCAGUGAGGAAUCUUGGUCAAUGGAGGCAACUCUGAACCAGCCACGUCGCGUGAAGGAUGAGGGCCUUACGGGUCGUAAACUUCUUUUUCGGGGGAAUAAACGGGGUCACGGGUGGCCCUUUGCAUGUACCCCGCGAAUAAGGAUCGGCUAACUCC
rnacentral:rRNA from 1 species